UACGUAGGGGGCGAGCGUUAUCCGGAUUUACUGGGUGUAAAGGGAGCGUAGACGGCUGGUCAAGUCUGAAGUGAAAGCCCGGGGCUUAACCCCGGAACGGCUUUGGAAACUGAGCAGCUAGAGUGCUGGAGAGGUAAGCGGAAUUCCUAGUGUAGCGGUGAAAUGCGUAGAUAUUAGGAGGAACACCAGUGGCGAAGGCGGCUUACUGGACAGUAACUGACGUUGAGGCUCGAAAGCGUGGGGAGCAA
rnacentral:rRNA from 1 species